rnacentral:lncRNA from 1 species
ACAGAUAUGCCUAGAUUUUUCUCCCAGUAUCAUUUGAAUGGCUGGCUGCGAUUAGAGCCCUGGGAAGAAAAGGAGUCCGGUAAAAGACAGAAGGCCAAUGGGAUCUGUCUUCUAGUCCGGUUUGCCACAACCAAGAAAGUUUAAGCUCAACAAAGUGAAGACCAGACAGUUGAAUGGGAAAAUGAAAAGGAGUGUGAACUAUCCUACAGGAGACAAGAAAAAAUGAGGCAGAGGAAGUGCCUUCGAACAACGAGCAAGGAGCAAGGAAAGAAAGAAAAAAAUGAGAAUACCAGCUCGACAGUCCAGAAAUGCCUGGUAUUUGUGAGGUUUAAUUCCCAGUACUGGAGAAGUUUAAAUUAAAAUAUGUAUGUACAAGGAA